rnacentral:rRNA from 1 species
UACGUAGGGGGCAAGCGUUGUCCGGAUUUAUUGGGCGUAAAGAGCGUGUAGGCGGUCUGGUAGGUCCGUUGUGAAAACUCGAGGCUCAACCUCGAGACGCCGAUGGAAACCCUCAGACUAGAGUCCGGAAGAGGAGAGUGGAAUACCUGGUGUAGCGGUGAAAUGCGCAGAUAUCAGGAAGAACACCCGUGGCUAAGGCGGCUCUCUAGUACGUGACUGACGCUGAGACGCGAAAGCGUGGGGAGCGAACAGG